rnacentral:lncRNA from 1 species
AGGCGCAGGGCUGGGAGGCGCAGGCGACGGCGGGGGCACACCCGGACCGGGGCUGGGCGGCUCCGGCGAAGGUGGCGGCGUGCCAGGCGCGGGGCUGGGAGGCGCAGGCGACGGCGGGGGCACACCCGGCGCGGGGCUGGGCGGCUCCGGCGAAGGCGGCGCAGGGCUGGGAGGCGCAGGGCUGGGCGGCUCCGGCGAAGGCGGCGGCGUGCCAGGCGCAGGGCUGGGAGGCGAAGGCGAAGGCGGGGGCACACCCGGCGCGGGGCUGGGCGGCUCCGGCGAAGGCGGCGGCGUGCCAGGCGCAGGGCUGGGAGGCGCAGGCGACGGCGGGGGCACACCCGGCGCGGGGCUGGGCGGCUCCGGCGAAGGUGGCGGCGUGCCAGGCGCAGGGCUGGGAGGCGCAGGCGACGGCGGGGGUACACCCGGACCGGGGCUGGGCGGCUCCGGCGAAGGCGGCGGCGUGCCAGGCGCAGGGCUGGGAGGCGCAGGCGACGGCGGGGGCACACCCGGCGCGGGGCUGGGCGGCUCCGGCGAAGGUGGCGGCGUGCCAGGCGCAGGGCUGGGAGGCGCAGGCGACGGCGGGGGCACACCCGGCGCGGGGCUGGGCGGCUCCGGCGAAGGCGGCGGCGUGCCAGGCGCAGGGCUGGGAGGCGCAGGCGACGGCGGGGGCACGCCCGGCGCGGGGCUGGGCGGCUCCGGCGAAGGCGGCGGCGUGCCAGGCGCAGGGCUGGGAGGCGCAGGCGACGGCGGGGGCACGCCCGGACCGGGGCUGGGCGGCUCCGGCGAAGGCGGCGGCGUGCCAGGCGCAGGGCUGGGAGGCGCAGGCGACGGCGGGGGCACACCCGGCGCGGGGCUGGGCGGCUCCGGCGAAGGCGGCGGAGUACCAGGCGCAGGGCUGGGAGGGGCAGGCGACGGCGGGGGCACACCCGGCGCGGGGCUGGGCGGCUCCGGCGAAGGCGGCGGCGUGCCAGGCGCAGGGCUGGGAGGCGCAGGGCGACGGCGGGGGCACACCCGGCGCGGGGCUGGGCGGCUCCGGCGAAGGCGGCGGCGUGCCAGGCGCAGGGCUGGGAGGCGCAGGCGACGGCGGGGGCACACCCGGCGCGGGGCUGGGCGGCUCCGGCGAAGGUGGCGGCGUGCCAGGCGCAGGGCUGGGAGGCGCAGGCGACGGCGGGGGCACACCCGGACCGGGGCUGGGCGGCUCCGGCGAAGGCGGCGGCGUGCCAGGCGCAGGGCUGGGAGGCGCAGGCGACGGCGGGGGCACACCCGGCGCGGGGCUGGGCGGCUCCGGCGAAGGCGGCGGCGUGCCAGGCGCAGGGCUGGGAGGUGCAGGCGACGGCGGGGGCACACCCGGCGCGGGGCUGGGCGGCUCCGGCGAAGGCGGUGGCGUGCCAGGCGCAGGGCUGGGAGGCGCAGGCGACGGCGGGGGCACACCCGGCGCGGGGCUAGGCGGCUCUGGCGAAGGCGGCGCAGGGCUGGGAGGCGCAGGGCUGGGAGGCGCAGGCGACGGCGGGGGCACACCCGGUGCGGGGCUGGGCGGCUCCGGCGAAGGCGGCGGAGUACCAGGCGCAGGGCUGGGAGGCGCAGGCGACGGCGGGGGCACGCCCGGACCGGGGCUGGGCGGCUCCGGCGAAGGUGGCGGCGCACCAGGCGCGGGGCUGGGAGGCGCAGGCGACGGCGGGGGCACGCCCGGCGCGGGGCUGGGCGGCUCCGGCGAAGGAGGCGGCGUGCCAGGCGCAGGGCUGGGAGGCGCAGGCGACGGCGGGGGCACACCCGGUCCGGGGCUGGGCGGCUCCGGCGAAGGCGGCGGCGUGCCAGGCGCAGGGCUGGGAGGCGCAGGCGACGGCGGGGGCACACCCGGCGCGGGGCUGGGCGGCUCCGGCGAAGGCGGCGGCGUGCCAGGCGCAGGGCUGGGAGGCGCAGGCGACGGCGGGGGCACACCCGGCGCGGGGCUGGGCGGCUCCGGCGAAGGCGGCGGCGUGCCAGGCGCAGGGCUGGGAGGCGCAGGCGACGGCGGGGGCACACCCGGCGCGGGGCUGGGCGGCUCCGGCGAAGGCGGUGGCGUGCCAGGCGCAGGGCUGGGAGGCGCAGGCGACGGCGGGGGCACACCCGGCGCGGGGCUAGGCGGCUCUGGCGAAGGCGGCGGCGUACCAGGCGCAGGGCUGGGAGGCGCAGGCGACGGCGGGGGCACACCCGGACCGGGGCUGGGCGGCUCCGGCGAAGGUGGCGGCGUGCCAGGCGCGGGGCUGGGAGGCGCAGGCGACGGCGGGGGCACACCCGGCGCGGGGCUGGGCGGCUCCGGCGAAGGCGGCGCAGGGCUGGGAGGCGCAGGGCUGGGAGGCGCAGGCGACGGCGGGGGCACACCCGGCGCAGGGCUGGGCGGCUCCGGCGAAGGCGGUGGCGUGCCAGGCGCAGGGCUGGGAGGCGCAGGCGACGGCGGGGGCACACCCGGCGCGGGGCUAGGCGGCUCUGGCGAAGGCGGCGCAGGGCUGGGAGGCGCAGGGCUGGGAGGCGCAGGCGACGGCGGGGGCACACCAGGUCCGGGGCUGGGCGGCUCCGGCGAAGGCGGCGGCGUGCCAGGCGCAGGGCUGGGAGGCGCAGGCGACGGAGGGGGCACACCCGGCGCGGGGCUGGGCGGCUCCGGCGAAGGCGGCGGCGUGCCAGGCGCAGGGCUGGGAGGCGCAGGCGACGGAGGGGGCACACCCGGCGCGGGGCUGGGCGGCUCCGGCGAAGGCGGCGGCGUGCCAGGCGCAGGGCUGGGAGGCGCAGGCGACGGCGGGGGCACACCCGGACCGGGGCUGGGCGGCUCCGGCGAAGGCGGCGGCGUGCCAGGCGCAGGGCUGGGAGGCGCAGGCGACGGCGGGGGCACACCCGGCGCGGGGCUAGGCGGCUCUGGCGAAGGCGGCGCAGGGCUGGGAGGCGCAGGGCUGGGAGGCGCAGGCGACGGCGGGGGCACACCCGGCGCGGGGCUGGGCGGCUCCGGCGAAGGAGGCGGCGUGCCAGGCGCAGGGCUGGGAGGCGCAGGCGACGGAGGGGGCACACCCGGCGCGGGGCUGGGCGGCUCCGGCGAAGGCGGCGGCGCGCCAGGCGCAGGGCUAGGAGGCGCAGGCGACGGCGGGGGCACACCCGGCGCAGGGCUGGGCGGCUCUGGCGAAGGAGGCGGCGUGCCAGGCGCAGGGCUGGGAGGCGCAGGCGACGGAGGGGGCACACCCGGCGCGGGGCUGGGCGGCUCCGGCGAAGGCGGCGGCGCGCCAGGCGCAGGGCUAGGAGGCGCAGGCGACGGCGGGGGCACACCCGGCGCGGGGCUGGGCGGCUCCGGCGAAGGCGGCGGCGUGCCAGGCGCAGGGCUGGGAGGCGCAGGCGACGGCGGGGGCACACCAGGUCCGGGGCUAGGCGGCUCUGGCGAAGGCGGCGGCGUGCCAGGCGCAGGGCUGGGAGGCGCAGGCGACGGAGGGGGCACACCCGGCGCGGGGCUGGGCGGCUCCGGCGAAGGCGGCGGCGUGCCAGGCGCAGGGCUGGGAGGCGCAGGCGACGGCGGGGGCACACCCGGCGCGGGGCUGGGCGGCUCCGGCGAAGGCGGCGGCGUGCCAGGCGCAGGGCUGGGAGGCGCAGGCGACGGCGGGGGCACACCCGGCGCGGGGCUAGGCGGCUCCGGCGAAGGCGGCGGAGUACCAGGCGCAGGGCUGGGAGGCGCAGGCGACGGCGGGGGCACACCAGGUCCGGGGCUGGGCGGCUCCGGCGAAGGAGGCGGCGUGCCAGGCGCAGGGCUGGGAGGCGCAGGCGACGGAGGGGGCACACCCGGCGCGGGGCUGGGCGGCUCCGGCGAAGGCGGCGGCGCGCCAGGCGCAGGGCUAGGAGGCGCAGGCGACGGCGGGGGCACACCCGGCGCAGGGCUGGGCGGCUCCGGCGAAGGAGGCGGCGUGCCAGGCGCAGGGCUGGGAGGCGCAGGCGACGGCGGGGGCACACCCGGCGCGGGGCUAGGCGGCUCUGGCGAAGGCGGCGCAGGGCUGGGAGGCGCAGGGCUGGGAGGCGCAGGCGACGGCGGGGGCACACCCGGCGCGGGGCUGGGCGGCUCCGGCGAAGGCGGCGGCGUGCCAGGCGCAGGGCUGGGAGGCGCAGGCGACGGCGGGGGCACACCCGGCGCAGGGCUGGGCGGCUCCGGCGAAGGCGGCGGCGUGCCAGGCGCAGGGCUGGGAGGCGCAGGCGACGGAGGGGGCACACCCGGCGCGGGGCUAGGCGGCUCCGGCGAAGGCGGCGGCGUGCCAGGCGCAGGGCUGGGAGGCGCAGGCGACGGCGGGGGCACACCCGGCGCGGGGCUGGGCGGCUCCGGCGAAGGCGGCGGCGUGCCAGGCGCAGGGCUGGGAGGCGCAGGCGACGGCGGGGGCACACCCGGCGCGGGGCUGGGCGGCUCCGGCGAAGGUGGCGGAGUACCAGGCGCAGGGCUGGGAGGCGCAGGCGACGGCGGGGGCACACCCGGCGCAGGGCUGGGCGGCUCCGGCGAAGGCGGCGGCGUGCCAGGCGCAGGGCUAGGAGGCGCAGGCGACGGAGGGGGCACACCCGGCGCGGGGCUAGGCGGCUCCGGCGAAGGUGGCGGCGUACCAGGCGCAGGGCUGGGAGGCGCAGGCGACGGCGGGGGCACACCCGGCGCGGGGCUGGGCGGCUGCGGCGAAGGUGGCGGCGUACCAGGCGCAGGGCUGGGAGGCGCAGGCGACGGCGGGGGCACACCCGGCGCGGGGCUAGGCGGCUCCGGCGAAGGCGGCGGAGUACCAGGCGCAGGGCUGGGAGGCGCAGGCGACGGCGGGGGCACACCCGGCGCGGGGCUAGGCGGCUCCGGCGAAGGCGGCGGAGUACCAGGCGCAGGGCUGGGAGGCGCAGGCGACGGCGGGGGCACACCCGGCGCGGGGCUAGGCGGCUCCGGCGAAGGUGGCGGAGUACCAGGCGCAGGGCUGGGAGGCGCAGGCGACGGCGGGGGCACACCAGGUCCGGGGCUGGGCGGCUCCGGCGAAGGUGGCGGCGUGCCAGGCGCAGGGCUGGGAGGCGCAGGCGACGGCGGGGGCACACCCGGCGCGGGGCUGGGCGGCUGCGGAGAAGGAGGCGGCGUGCCAGGCGCAGGGCUGGGAGGCGCAGGCGACGGCGGGGGCACACCCGGCGCGGGGCUGGGCGGCUCCGGCGAAGGCGGCGGCGCGCCAGGCGCAGGGCUGGGAGGCGCAGGCGACGGCGGGGGCACACCCGGCGCGGGGCUAGGCGGCUCUGGCGAAGGCGGCGGCGUGCCAGGCGCAGGGCUGGGAGGCGCAGGCGACGGAGGGGGCACACCCGGCGCGGGGCUGGGCGGCUCCGGCGAAGGCGGCGGCGUGCCAGGCGCAGGGCUGGGAGGCGCAGGCGACGGAGGGGGCACACCCGGCGCGGGGCUGGGCGGCUCCGGCGAAGGCGGCGGCGUGCCAGGCGCAGGGCUGGGAGGCGCAGGCGACGGCGGGGGCACACCCGGCGCGGGGCUGGGCGGCUCCGGCGAAGGCGGCGGCGUGCCAGGCGCAGGGCUGGGAGGCGCAGGCGACGGCGGGGGCACACCCGGCGCGGGGCUAGGCGGCUCCGGCGAAGGCGGCGGAGUACCAGGCGCAGGGCUGGGAGGCGCAGGCGACGGCGGGGGCACACCAGGUCCGGGGCUGGGCGGCUCCGGCGAAGGAGGCGGCGUGCCAGGCGCAGGGCUGGGAGGCGCAGGCGACGGCGGGGGCACACCCGGCGCGGGGCUGGGCGGCUCCGGCGAAGGCGGCGGAGUACCAGGCGCAGGGCUGGGAGGCGCAGGCGACGGCGGGGGCACACCCGGCGCGGGGCUAGGCGGCUCCGGCGAAGGCGGCGGAGUACCAGGCGCAGGGCUGGGAGGCGCAGGCGACGGCGGGGGCACACCCGGCGCGGGGCUAGGCGGCUCCGGCGAAGGCGGCGGCGUACCAGGCGCAGGGCUGGGAGGCGCAGGCGACGGCGGGGGCACACCCGGCGCGGGGCUAGGCGGCUCCGGCGAAGGUGGCGGCGUACCAGGCGCAGGGCUGGGAGGCGCAGGCGACGGCGGGGGCACACCCGGCGCGGGGCUGGGCGGCUCCGGCGAAGGAGGCGGCGUGCCAGGCGCAGGGCUGGGAGGCGCAGGCGACGGAGGGGGCACACCCGGCGCGGGGCUGGGCGGCUCCGGCGAAGGCGGCGGCGUGCCAGGCGCAGGGCUGGGAGGCGAAGGCGAAGGCGGGGGCACACCCGGACCGGGGCUGGGCGGCUCCGGCGAAGGCGGCGCAGGGGUGGGAGGCGCAGGGCUGGGAGGCGCAGGCGACGGCGGGGGCACACCCGGCGCGGGGCUGGGCGGCUCCGGCGAAGGCGGUGGCGUGCCAGGCGCAGGGCUGGGAGGCGCAGGCGACGGCGGGGGCACACCCGGCGCGGGGCUAGGCGGCUCUGGCGAAGGCGGCGCAGGGCUGGGAGGCGCAGGGCUGGGAGGCACAGGCGACGGCGGGGGCACACCCGGUGCGGGGCUGGGCGGCUCCGGCGAAGGCGGCGCAGGGCUGGGAGGCGCAGGGCUGGGAGGCGAAGGCGAAGGCGGGGGCACACCCGGUCCGGGGCUGGGCGGCUCCGGCGAAGGUGGCGGCGUGCCAGGCGCAGGGCUGGGAGGCGCAGGCGACGGCGGGGGCACACCCGGCGCGGGGCUGGGCGGCUCCGGCGAAGGCGGUGGCGUGCCAGGCGCAGGGCUGGGAGGCGCAGGCGACGGCGGGGGCACACCCGGCGCGGGGCUGGGCGGCUCCGGCGAAGGUGGCGGCGUGCCAGGCGCAGGGCUGGGAGGCGCAGGCGACGGCGGGGGCACACCCGGCGCAGGGCUGGGCGGCUCCGGCGAAGGCGGCGGCGUGCCAGGUGCAGGGCUGGGAGGCGCAGGCGACGGCGGGGGCACGCCCGGCGCGGAGCUGGGCGGCUCCGGCGAAGGCGGCGGCGUGCCAGGCGCAGGGCUGGGAGGCGCAGGCGACGGCGGGGGCACACCCGCCGCGGGGCUGGGCGGCUCCGGCGAAGGCGGCGGCGUGCCAGGCGCAGGGCUGGGAGGCGCAGGCGACGGCGGGGGCACACCCGGCGCGGGGCUGGGCGGCUCCGGCGAAGGUGGCGGCGUGCCAGGCGCAGGGCUGGGAGGCGCAGGCGACGGCGGGGGCACACCCGGCGCGGGGCUAGGCGGCUCUGGCGAAGGCGGCGCAGGGCUGGGAGGCGCAGGGCUGGGAGGCGCAGGCGACGGCGGGGGCACACCCGGUGCGGGGCUGGGCGGCUCCGGCGAAGGCGGCGGAGUACCAGGCGCAGGGCUGGGAGGCGCAGGCGACGGCGGGGGCACGCCCGGACCGGGGCUAGGCGGCUCUGGCGAAGGUGGCGGCGUACCAGGCGCGGGGCUGGGAGGCGCAGGCGACGGCGGGGGCACGCCCGGCGCGGGGCUGGGCGGCUCCGGCGAAGGAGGCGGCGUGCCAGGCGCAGGGCUGGGAGGCGCAGGCGACGGCGGGGGCACACCCGGUCCGGGGCUGGGCGGCUCCGGCGAAGGCGG